rnacentral:lncRNA from 1 species
AAAAGUCGAGUUUUGAAGAGUCAACGUACCGCCCAGUGGCACACUUAAACCGCCGGGCGGUCCAGGACGAGGAGUAGGCAGCAUUUCACGCUGAGAGAAACCGCUGGGCGCUGGCAUGGGAAAACGCCGAGCGAUGGCGAUUGCCGCCGGGCGGUGGUGGCAGGUUGUGGCAAACCGCCGGGCGGCACACUUAAACCGCCCGGCGGUAGCACGCUGGACUUGGGCCUGAUUUUGACGCGCUCCUCACCUAUAAAUACCCCUUCUACGAAUUCAGAGUCAUUCUUUUGACAGGGGAGAACGGCCAGACCUAAUUUU